GGGUUCCACCGCAAGGUUCGUCCACGGAGGGUGAGUUAGGGUCUAAGAUCAGGCCAAAAGGCGUAGUCGAUGGACAACAGGUAAAUAUUCCUGUACUACCCCUUAUUGUCUGAAGGGACGGAGGAGGCAAGGUUAGCCGAAAGAUGGUUAUCGGUUAAAGGACACAAGGUGACCUUGUUUUUCAGGGUAAAAAAGGGUAAAGAAAAUGCCUCGAGGCAAUAUUUGAGUACCAGGCAUUACGGCGCUGAAGUAACCCAUUCCAUACUCCUAGGGAAAGCUCGAACAACCUUCAUC
rfam:Beta vulgaris subsp. vulgaris chromosome 1, whole genome shotgun sequence.